UACGGAGGGAGCUAGCGUUGUUCGGAAUUACUGGGCGUAAAGCGCACGUAGGCGGCUUUAUAAGUUAGAGGUGAAAGCCCAGGGCUCAACCUUGGAACUGCCUUUGAUACUGGCUAUCUUGAGUACGGGAGAGGUGUGUGGAACUCCGAGUGUAGAGGUGAAAUUCGUAGAUAUUCGGAAGAACACCAGUGGCGAAGGCGACACACUGGCCCGUUACUGACGCUGAGGCGCGAAAGCGUGGGGAGCAAACAGG
rnacentral:rRNA from 1 species